CCCCCAUUCUCCCUCAGCAAACUCAGAUUUGAAAACCCUGUAGCUGCCACCCAUUUCUUUUCCCAUCGGCAACUCACACAAAGCUCCCUUUGAUUCCUUGAAAGAAAGAAACGAAGAAAGGGAGGAGGGAAACGGGAGAUCAGAGAAGUGGAGAGGGGAAGAGGAAGGACGGCGCCGGCGGGCAUCACUGCCGCCGCGCCGUCGUGUUGCCGUCGAAGGAGACGAAGCCGUGGACCAUAGUCACGAGCAGAAGAGAAAGCGCGAGACAGGGCACGUGAGACGGAGCCGCCACUGCUGGGUUGCCGUCCAGCCUCGCCCCACCUUCCAGCCUUCAUCACCACCGCGUCCACACCAUGCCGCCGCCUCUGUUCGUCACACCGUCACUCCUAGCCGCGCCGUCGCCAUUCGCGCGAGAGAGAGACGCGCCGUGAGGAGGGUAGCCACCGUGCUCAGUCGCCAUCACUUCCUCCCACCAUCGAGGCUCGCGUCACUGUCACUCAUGGCCGUCGCUCCUACUGUGCUCCAUUCGGGUUCUGGGUUGAGCGCGCCGCUGUUGCCGUUGGAAGCCGCUGCUGAGGCCGGAUUGCUAUGGUGGUUACUGUCCUUAUUAGUAGCGGGAGAGGAUGAGACGCGGUGAUAGUGGUUGGUCCCCCACCCUUGCUGCUGUGCUGUCAGAAUCUGCCGCCAUGGCCGUCGGAGCUCCGGGCUGAGCUUCUGCCACUUGAGACCCUGCUGCCACCGUGUUCCACCGUCGUUACCGUCACCGGUGUUUUUGCUCGCGUUUAUCACUUGGGGUUACUGACGAAGCCACUGCCAGGUUUAUAAGGAGCUGCGGCUGCUUCAUUUUGUUAUUUCAGAGUUAGAAUCUGGUUUGCUUAUGCCACUUGUAGCUGUUUCUGCUUUCGAGAGAGAGCAAGCCGAGUCGGGUUCUGAUUGCCGAUGAUUUCAGGCAGAGCGAAAAGAGUUCAGUUGACACGUUUGGAUUAUGAUUUUGGCGUUUUGAGGUAGGGGCGCUUUCCAAAAGUUAUGUUUUGUAUAUUGGAAUUAUUACAUAUGGAUACGGAUGUGAGAUAUUGUGUAUUUGGUGAUUGUAUCUGCCUUAUGUAUUAUUUGAUUGACUUGAAUGAUUAUGGAUGUUGGUUUGGCUGA